rnacentral:rRNA from 1 species
AUGAACGCUGGCGGCGUGCCUAAUACAUGCAAGUCGAACGCAUAGCGAAAGGUGCUUGCACCUUUCAAGUGAGUGGCGAACGGGUGAGUAACACGUGGACAACCUGCCUCAAGGCUGGGGAUAACAUUUGGAAACAGAUGCCAAUACCGAAUAAAACUUAGUGUCGCAUGACACAAAGUUAAAAGGCGCUUCGGCGUCACCUAGAGAUGGAUCCGCGGUGCAUUAGUUAGUUGGUGGGGUAAAGGCCUACCAAGACAAUGAUGCAUAGCCGAGUUGAGAGGAUGAUCGGCCACAUUGGGACUGAGACACGGCCCAAACUCCUACGGGAGGCUGCAGUAGGGAAUCUUCCACAAUGGGCGAAAGCCUGAUGGAGCAACGCCGCGUGUGUGAUGAAGGCUUUCGGGUCGUAAAGCACUGUUGUAUGGGAAGAACAGCUAGAAGAGGAAAUGAUUUUAGUUUGACGGUACCAUACCAGAAAGGGACGGCUAAAUACGUG